GAUGAACGCUAGCUACAGGCUUAACACAUGCAAGUCGAGGGGAAACGGCAUCGAAAGCUUGCUUUUGAUGGGCGUCGACCGGCGCACGGGUGAGUAACGCGUAUCCAACCUGCCCAUCACUUGGGAAUAACCUUGCGAAAGUAAGACUAAUGCCCAAUGACAUCCCACGAAGGCAUCCGAAUGGGAUUAAAGAUUUAUCGGUGAUGGAUGGGGAUGCGUCUGAUUAGCUUGUUGGCGGGGUGACGGCCCACCAAGGCAACGAUCAGUAGGGGUUCUGAGAGGAAGGUCCCCCACAUUGGAACUGAGACACGGUCCAAACUCCUACGGGAGGCAGCAGUGAGGAAUAUUGGUCAAUGGGCGAGAGCCUGAACCAGCCAAGUAGCGUGCAGGAUAACGGCCCUAUGGGUUGUAAACUGCUUUUAUAAGGGAAUAAAGUGGGUCACGUGUGACUUUUUGCAUGUACCUUAUGAAUAAGGACCGGCUAAUUCCGUG
rnacentral:rRNA from 1 species